UUCAUUUCUCCAAGGCAGAAAAAAAAAGAGUGGGGGAAAAAUGAGAGACUACAACUAGGCUUGCGAUUGCACACCAAGACCUUGCUGAAACGUUAAAGGUUUGCUGUAGCCAAGCAGCUCCCCACAUGAAUCCUCCCAAUCCCGCAUAUAUAUAAAAGAAAGUUAAAUCAACUACCCAGAGUUUCGCAAAUGUAAAUCACAGCUUCGCUCGUGCUAAUUAACUGGUGCCACUUGAGCGCAAGACAAACCUAACUCUGCGUUUUUUGGAGCUGAUGAUUAACCUACUUUCUGGAGGUCUCUUUUUUCCUCUUCAUAAAUGAAACAAAAAAGCCCGUCGAAAAGCAACGCCAGCCGGCCGUGCAGUGACACGGCCGCCGCUCCCCAGCUCCCCUGCCAUGGAUUUUCCUUUGCUUUGUUGCAUCUGACUUUGUUCUCCCAGGCAGAAAGACACUGGGGAAACUUGCUUACUGAUGGAGAUCGCCAGGACCAUCCCAUCUUCGUCAGGAUUAUAAAUUAUUUCCUUGGAGGCUACGAGGGAACUAACCUUUAAGAGAAAAUUCCUCUAUAACCAGCAGCCACCUUACACUCGCGUAGCGAGAGGAUAGCCCGGCACCACAGAGCCGCUCGGUCAGGCUGCUUACGACACGUUAUUUCAGCAACGAGAUUUUAAUUUCCCCAUCCGUGAAACUGGGAUGGCUCAAAACCACCCGAGAGAGGUGCCGUGUGGUUAAAUGAACACACGGGCUUGGCAAAUAACUCAACAAUUUCAUAGAUGGUGCAACCCAGGUAUUUAUCAUCCAGCGCUGAAGUAACUGGGCGUCGCAGGGAGACACAGAGUCAACAACUGCAGUUUCUCUCUUCUGUGAUUCACGCAAGGUCACGGCCAUGGGGGAUUCUCAAGCCACGCACCAGACUGGCCCAGAACACCACACUUAACUGAAAAACAAAACAGCUCCUCGCAGAAACACGGACACGAAGCCUCCGUUGAUCCUUUCCUUCCCCAGGCAGCGGCGGACGGCAGGGGAGGGGCAGCGCCGAGCCACCAACGCCCACCGCAAAGCACCGGCCGAGCCUCAGCUAAUGUUUCAGGAUUGGGUUGAAAAUUCAGUUCAGGGCCUCAUGUUUUUUGGCUAAGGGACGAAUAUCUUCCCUCAAACUUCAUUUCAUUUGUUCAUCGAACUGGGCAAUAACCAAGGUCUUCGCCCAGUGCUCUGACCCCAAGUCCUGACCUGCUUCAGACUUGCUUUAUGGCAGAACAGCGGAAUAUUCACUUUUGCGAAGAGCCUGAAACAUACGGCAGAAGGCAAAAUAACGUGCUCAAAAGCUGAGCACUGCAUUGUUUUUUUUCAAUGAGCGGUCCCCUAUAUCGGUAUGUCUCUAUUUUAAUUUUUUUUAAAGAGUCUGACAACCUUUAUGAACAUUUAAUUGUUCAAUUCAGACACCACGUGAGAUGCUGAAACCCCUGCAGUACCGUAGCAGCACACCAACACUUCAGACGACGGAGCCAGCAGCAAAUACGGCCCCGAGCAAACAGCAUGGAAAUUUAGCACAAGUACCCGACGUGGGACACGGGAGAGCGUUAAGGGCUCUUCAACAGAGGUCAGCAAGAACCGCGGCUACUUGGCUCCUUGGGAAAUUGCCUGGAGAAAAGCUGAGUUCCCCAGCGCCGCAGCGGGAACUGCUGCAGGUACCUCCAGGGAAGAGCAUCGUGGUGUGAAUGCUCCCACGGUGACAUCCCCAUGGGGAAGAGAAGCAGCAGUGCCUCACCCUACGGAGCGGGAUGAGCUCAGAUGUACCCACAAGAUGCACGCCACAGCUCCAGUAAGCAUGUUUUCCUGUAGCUGGGUCUAAUUUCUACGUCUCUGCAACAGCUCUAAGGCAGGAAGGAGAAUAACAUUGUUUUAUGGGGAAAAAAAAAUAAAACACGUUCCCCAACACGUUCCCUCAAAAAAAAGGCUAAAUGCAGAUUUCCUGGCCUUGUCCCCAAAUCCCUCGCAUGGCCACAACCAACCAGAAAUUAAAUGGGAAGGAAGAAAGACUCCUCUUCCACCGGCAUCGAAGCGUGAGACGGAAGGAGGGAACGAGCACACAGGGAUUCCCAAACCAAGCACAGCCCGAUUAACGCUCAAAUCGCGCGGAACAAAACGUUUUACCCGUCCAUCUGCUCUACGACCGCGCCGGGUAAUCCCGACCGCGCGACAUUUGAUGGAUUUUGCUGACGAGGUCAAUUAUAUCAUUCUCUCACCACCAUCUCUUGGAGAGGCAACAGUUAGAGAUUGAAAAGCUUUUGUGCCACUGUUACUAAUUGCUGCUGGUUUCGGCACAGGAUUCCCCCAGCUCCCCCAGGUCUCAGCAGCUCUGCAGAUGCCUGCCCGGCUUGUAGCAAGUUGCCAACCUCCGCGCUACACUUGAUCCACCUGCAACUAACAGCAAGACUGGCCGCCCCUCGAGAGCCGGGGCUCUGGAGCCCUGUCGGAGCAAUGCAGGUUUCACUAUCAAGUUUUCCCUGCGGAUACAAAUGACGCAGCACGACGCCAGAGCCCGCCUGGCCAAGGAGCUCCCUGCAGAUGCCAAGAAACACCUGAGAUCUCCAGCAAGCUCCAGAUCCAAGUUAACACCCAAGCCCCCUUGAUCCCAUCUUCCCCAUCACCCCGGACCCCGGGGUACAUGACACAGCUCUGGAGGACCCUCUCGUCUCCAAAUCAACCACGUUCAUGGGGUGGCACCGCAGAGAAACGCCUCAAAGAACAUUUCCCAAGGUUAGAUGACCGACCCGUCUUGGCCACCCACCGCAUGUGUAUUUGAGCCUUGCUGGUGGAAGCACAAUCAUUUUGUCUGCAGGCUUCCACCUCCAGCCAUUGCAGCACUGCUGCGAUAGUUUAUUACUUUCCUAAUAAAGCCUGAAUAGAAA